rnacentral:misc_RNA from 1 species
AAAAAAAAUUAAAAAAAAAAGAGAUUUAAUUGAAUAAUUGAACCAUCUAGGUCAAUCGGGUCAUACCAGUUUAUCGAUUCAAACGUCGGGUUGACUUGGUCACGUUGAGUUGCUUUCUUGUCUAAUUCAAUUAUAAACACAGACCAGUUUGAGGGCUGGUUUACCAACUCAAUGGUUCAACCGGCCGGUUCAGUCUGAAUUUAGUAACUAUGAUAUAAAUGACUAAUAUUUGUACUGAACUGAGUGCUGUUAUCAAUCUGAAAUGAAGGGUGGAUGGAUCAUGGGGUGCUCUUCUGAUAGAGAAACGUUUCUUUUAAUCUUUUUGUGAACUGAAGAAAGUUACAAUUGUCUUCUAAUGAUUGGCUAUUAAACCACUUCUGCGAUACACUCUCGUUCCAGCUCCCCACUCUUGUUUUACUGAGAUUUUUCAGUUACUUCCCAACAGCCAUAGGUGAUUAGGACUUUAGAGUUCAGACCACUCCUUUUCCACAAGAGACUAAUGGCUACGGCUUUUGAGGCCAAAGUUUCCUUCUUUUUUUUUUUAUAAUCUUUUUCGGUAAAUAACUUAAACCGGAUCUUGUAAGUAGAGAAAUUGAGAGAUGCGGGCUGGAGGCGAAGUGAUAACCAACUCUUAACUAAUUUGUUAUUAAAGUUUUGCUGUUAUUGUUACUGUUAUCUUAUAACUGGUCUUUAUUAGUGGUGAAGUGGCACUCAGUACCAUUUUUCUGUAUAUUGUUGUUAAAACCUGACAGGAGAACCGGCUUC